CUUUCCCUCCCCCUCUCAUUUUCACUUUCCCUCCCUUCAUCUAUUUUUCUUCUCUCCUUUCUCUUCCUCUCUAUUUAAAAGAAUGGGAAAAAGAGAAGAAAUCCAAACCCUCUCCCCAUCAUUCACUAUUAAAAAAUCAAGUUUUUAUGUUUUUCCUCCUUUGCUUAGCAUCUUAUUCUUUAGCAAUCCCAGACGACAGAACGGUGAGCCUACGAUGAGCUGUGACAACUUACAAACUCUGGCAACCAAUUUUUGUGCGACCUAUUCUAUGCGUUGAUGUUGUGACUCAAGAACCCAUGACUCUCCCUCACUUUCAGCAAGUAUGACAAUAAUGAAAUCUCUAGAUCUAACUUUUCAUGCGAGCGCCCACUUCAUUUAGGUUCAUAAAAGUGUGUCCUUUCUUUGCGACGAGCUCUAGCAUCUUCUAUAAACUUUUUUACCUUAGGUUUGACUUCUUAGUGCUGCCACACUCCGAUUUGAGCUCAAAUCAGAUUACCCAUAGCGCUUAAGGGUUAGAUUUGCGAGUUUGGAUGCUUUAAAACACUAGCCAACAAAGUUUAGAGUUGUUCUUUGACUUUAAGGAAGUUGACAUAUGUUCAAGGAAAUGAAAUUUGGAUUGAGAAUUGUAGAAUUAUUUAUUGAGGUAAGUAUUUUUCACAUCUAUUCCAAAAUAUAUUUUGGCUAUUAUGAUUCGAUAAGAGUUCGAAUGUAUGUUUGUGUGAAUUGAGGAUUUAUUGAAAUAGUUUUGUGUAAUUUUAAUCGUUUCUACCAAAUGAAAAUAUAUGACUAAUUUUAAUUGCUUUAUAAUUGUUCCUAACACUUAAGCCAAUGUUCGAAGCUUUGGAUUAGUUUCGAACUUCUUCGAAUACUUUCAGCUAGGUCUCACAUCAUUUUUCGGUAAGUUUUAGAUGUUAACACUAUAUUUAGAUCUUUCAAAAUUCAAUUAAUGUGUUUUAAAGUAGUUUUCCUUGGGAACUCUUUUUGUAGUUCAUGACUAGUUCAAAGUAUUCAAACAAAUUUUUAAGGUUUUCGUUAAGGUAAAAACUAUUUUCAUGUAUCUAGAAAAUCUUGCAAUUGUUUUUAGAGUAUAAUAAUUAGUAAGUGGAGUUAAAACUAGCAUGAUGUGUUUUCUUUAAAAAGUAAUAUUACAAGGCAUUCAUCUUAAAACUUUAGUUUGUUUUGAAAUGUUAGGUUAGAAUAUGUGUUGGACUGCUCUGACUAUCCUACAGUUAUGGUAGUCAUAACUUAGUUAUUGUUUAUGUUAUGGUUUCCACUGAGCCGUUAUGAUUUCUAUUAGAGUUGGCUUUGAUUCAUGAGUUUCAUUACCUUGUUGAAUUUACUUCUUUCGAUAAGCUUAGUUGUCUAUUAGUCUUUUCUCUUAGUUUUGAUAAGCUUGUUUUGGUUGAUAAGUUUGUUUAUGGUUUUCAUUGAGUUCUUUUGUGUUUAUAAGUUUAUAAGUUUAUGUCUAUAUAUUUUUGUAAAUGAAAAUGGUUGCUAUUAGUCUUUUCUCUUAGUUUGAUAGACUUACUUUAUGAAAAUGGUUACUAUUAGUCUUUUCUUUUAGUUUGAUAGACUUACUUAUUUGGAUUUAUAAGUAAUUAUCCAUUGAACUGUUCUAUUAAUAUUUUCUCUUAGUUUGGUUAAGCUUACAUGCUUGUGCUGAUAAGUUUGUUUAUAAUUUAUUGGACUGAGUUCUCUAUACUAUAUUGAAAGAGAGGUUUGUGUUGGAGUUGUAACUAAUUUCAAUUGCUUUAUAGAUGUUACUAACACUUGAAGCUUCUGUUUGAAGCUUUGGAUUCGUUUAAGAAUUAUUAGGAUAAUUUCAGCCAGGUCCCAAAUCAUUUUUGGUAUGUUUUCCAAGUGAAUUUGUUGUAUGUGUUUAUAAGUUUUUUGAUUUAUGUUAUAUAUUUUUCAAAAUUCUAGUUGUGUUUUCUAUGAAGUUUAGGAGAACCAUUAACUUGUUGAGUUUAUGUUGAAUAGUUUGUGUGCCUUUAUCUUUAUGUUUAUGCAUUUUGCUAAAUUAAUUUGAAAAUAAUUAUGAUGGAAGUAGGAAGAUGCUUGAGUUCAAGUUAAGUGUGGUGAUGCCGACGACUUCAUUAGAAAAAAGUUAGAUAUGGUGAAACUGAUGAUGAGACUUCUUAAAGUAUUUAAGCUAUAAAAGACAAUUAUUUAGGGUCAACAAGUAAUUUUAAGGUUUUAGAGCCUUGUACUAUUAUGGUUACCAAUUUUGUUGAUCUUUGUUAUAUUACUUUUGUUGAAGUAAAAGAGUUAAUUGUUA